ACGGGCGAGUAAUGCAUAUUUAACUUACUUCCGCGAGUAGGAUAGCAGCCCGAAAGGGCUAUUAAUACUACAUAGGUUUAUGGACUUGUAAAUUAAAGGAGGCGCCCUCGGGAGCCUCGAGCGGAAAAGGGAAUAUGUCCUAUUAGGUAGUUGGCGGGGUAAAGGCCCACCAAGCCAAUGAUGGGUAGCUGGACUGAGAGGUUGAACAGCCGCAAUGGGAUUGAGAUAUGGCCCAUAUUCCUACGGGAAGCAGCAGUGAGGAAUUUUUCACAAUGGACGAAAGUCUGAUGGAGCAAUACCACGUGAACGAUGAAGGUCUUCUGAUUGUAAAGUUCUUUUAUUUAGGAAAAAAAGCGCGCUAGGAAAUGAGCGCGCCUUGAUGGUACUAAUUGAAUAAGUGACAGCUAACUAUGUGCCAGCAGCUGCGGUAAAACAUAGGUCACAAGCAUUAUCCGGAUUUAUUGGGCGUAAAGGAAGCGUAGGCGGGGAGGCUGAUCCAUUGUUAAAGGCAUUUGCUCAACAAAUGUGUGCGAUGGAGAUCUCCUCCCUAGAGUUAAUCAGGGGGUACUGGAAUUCAAUGUGUAGCGGUGGAAUGCGUAGAUAUAUUGAGGAACACCAGAGGCUAAGGCGAGUACCUGGGAUAUAACUGACGCUGAGGCUUGAAAGCGUGGGGAGCAAAUGGGAUUAGAUACCCCAGUAGUCCACGCCGUAAACGAUGAGCAUUAGGUAUUUGAUGUUAGGUCGAGUGCUGUAGCUAACGCGUUAAAUGCUCCGCCUGGGUAGUAUAUAUGCAAAUAUGAAACUCAAAGAAAUUGACGGGGACCUGAACAAGUGGUGGAGCAUGUUGCUUAAUUCGAUAAUACACGAAAAACCUACCAAGGCUUGUUAUCUACUGCAAAACUAUAGAAAUAUGGUGGAGUAUAUCAGUAAGACAGGUGGUGCAUGGCUGUCGUCAGCUCGUGUCUUGAGAUGUUUGGUUAAGUCCCGUAACGAGCGCAACCCUACUCUCUAGUUAAUUAGUUCUAGAGUGACUGAAUCGUAAGAUAUAGGAAGGAUGGGGCCAAGUCAAGUCAUCAUGC
rnacentral:rRNA from 1 species